GGCCAUGGAAGAUUUGAAGGCACCAUUGGUAAAAGUGAUGGGAACCGCUAAUUGGCACAUAAAGAUGGAUGAUAUAAACUUAUACAGCCGGCCGGCAAAAGACUACAAACAUUGCCGCCGCUCACAAACUUACCGGCAACAGCGCCACUGUCAGGUCAGCUGCCGUCACUGCAGCCUGACUACCGGCCACAGCACCAUCUUCUAAUACAUUGCAGAUGUAUGAAGGAAGGAACUGCAGAU